AGCAUAAUAUUUUUUAAACUUCAAAUGAGAGCAAAUAAGAUUCCCGUCUAGAACAUCCCAACACAUCUAAGAACAUCGUACAAAAUACAAUCUAAAAACUUUUCCUGGAUAGUGGAGGAUAACAAAUGUUUUAUAUUAGAAAAGAUGGUUUACAUCAUCGACUACUGUCAUAUUUCUCAAAGAAAAAUCAUCUACCAUGUCUGGGGGAUGCAUCAGCAGAGCGGGAUCGGGACCCCGAAGGUGAUCUUGAUGUUCUACCAGGAGAUGCCCUCCAAUUAACCCGAAGGUGAUCUUGAUGUUCUACCGAAGGUGACUUGCUAAAGAAGUGAAAAUGGAUCAAUGUAUAAAUAGAACCGAACAGAACAUGUUUCUAAGCAAGCACAGUAAACAAAUAUAAUAAAGUACAUGAUUAAAAAAAAUGAAAAACACCAAAAAUAGUCUCAUAUUCAAGGUGCUGCCAGAAAGCAAUGAAGUCAAAAUUGCAAAAUGGCUGAAAUUAUGGAAAAAUGUCAUGUUGCCAACAAGAACAUGAAAGGAACCAACCACACAGUCAGGCAUGUACAAAAGUCAUCAGUUAAUCAUACAACUUACUCGUGAUAUCCAUUUCCAUUCUGACCGUGCUCAUCAGCAUUAUCAUAACCAGGAGAAUAUACUUGUCGGCUCCUCUCAACAUCUCGCUCACGAGGAGCACCCCUAGGUGAUUCAGGGUAAUCUGUGUGCCUUCUACCAGGGGAAACAGA
rnacentral:lncRNA from 1 species